CGGGGGGCAGCAGUGGGGAAUCUUGCGCAAUGGGCGAAAGCCUGACGCAGCAACGCCGCGUGCGGGAAGAAGGCUUUCGGGCUGUAAACCGCUUUCAGCAGGAACGAAAAUGACGGUACCUGCAGAAGAAGGAGCGGCCAACUAUGUGCCAGCAGCCGCGGUGAUACAUAGGCUUCAAGCGUUGUCCGGAUUUAUUGGGCGUAAAGAGUUCGUAGGCGGUCGAGUAAGUCGGGUGUGAAAAUUCUGGGCUUAACCCAGAGACGCCACCCGAUACUGCUUAACUUGAGUUCGAUAGGGGAGUGGGGAAUUCCUAGUGUAGCGGUGAAAUGCGCAGAUAUUAGGAGGAACACCGGUGGCGAAGGCGCCACUCUGGAUCGAUACUGACGCUGAGGAACGAAAGCAUGGGUAGCAAACAGGAUUAGAUACCCGAGU
rnacentral:rRNA from 1 species